GCCUUCGUGGUGUAAUGGUAGCAUACUCGGUGCGUAUUCGAGAGGUACAGGUUCGAGUCCUGGCGAGGGCA
rfam:Stegodyphus mimosarum contig35113, whole genome shotgun sequence.